rnacentral:rRNA from 1 species
CAGCCGCCGCGGUAAAACGUAGGUGGCAAGCGUUGUCCGGAAUUAUUGGGCGUAAAGGGCUCGCAGGCGGUUUCUUAAGUCUGAUGUGAAAGCCCCCGGCUCAACCGGGGAGGGUCAUUGGAAACUGGGAAACUUGAGUGCAGAAGAGGAGAGUGGAAUUCCACGUGUAGCGGUGAAAUGCGUAGAGAUGUGGAGGAACACCAGUGGCGAAGGCGACUCUCUGGUCUGUAACUGACGCUGAGGAGCGAAAGCGUGGGGAGCGAACAGGAUUAGAUACCCGUGUAGUCCCUGUCUCUUAUAC